CCUACGGGAGGCAGCAGUGGGGAAUAUUGGGCAAUGGGCGCAAGCCCGACCCAGCAACGCCGCGUGAAGGAAGAAGGCUUUCGGGUUGUAAACUUCUUUUCUCAGGGACGAAGAAAGUGACGGUACCUGAGGAAUAAGCCACGGCUAACUACGUGCCAGCAGCCGCGGUAAUACGUAGGUGGCAAGCGUUAUCCGGAUUUAUUGGGUUUAAAGGGUGCGUAGGUUGUUUUAUAAGUUAGCGGUGAAAUACCGAUGCUCAACAUCGGGGCUGCCGCUAAUACUGUAGGACUAGAGAUCGGAUGCAGCAGGCGGAAUGUGUAGUGUAGCGGUGAAAUGCAUAGAUAUUACACAGAACACCGAUUGCGAAGGCAGCUUGCUAGGCCGGAUCUGACACUGAUGCACGAAAGCGUGGGGAUCGAACAGGAUUAGAUACCCCAGUAGUC
rnacentral:rRNA from 1 species